UCUUACAUUUAGCGUUUUCACAUUAGAAGCUAAUUACAUGAAAAGGCUUAACGUGACUUCAUAUGCUAAAUGUAAGAUAACGUCCAUAAUUAUUGGAAUUCGGUUUUGAUUUUUUCACAGGUGUAAGUGUUCAUGAUGAAGCAUAUCUGAGACAAAUUUGGUGAUUAUUGAUCACUGCUUUACUACAUUAAGUGACGUUAAGGCUUUUCACAUUAAACGUGAAGUGCUUUAGAACUUAUAACAAAUACCUCUUGGUUGAGGUUAGACAACGAGCAGUUAGAAGAAACCGACGUUGUCCGUCAGUAGGAAACAUUAAUCUGUGGUAGAGAUUUAUGAGGUCGUCAUACAAUGUCAUCAUUAAACCUCCAGAUGCUCACAGAUGCUCACAGACGACUGGAAGGUAAAGAUGUUUUCACUGUGGAGUAACGUCUCAGCAUCAAGGUGCAGUUCCACAGAACCACACUCUUUGUUUUGUGUUCAGUCCUUAUUUGGUCGCAGCCGAGCCUCCGCUCAGUGGUGAUGUAACCGUCUAUAACAGGAACUGUAAUGUUCUUUACUCCCAAAGUAAAUGAAACUCACAUGAACACAAAGUGACAGUUUGUGCUGCAGGAGCCUGAAAUAACAAGCGGAGCAGGAAGAAGAAAGAGUAAAGAGCAGGUUUACGUAACUCAGAUAUUAUUCAUGAACUGAACCAUUUACUGCAUCAAUCUUUAAAUAAAACACUCAGACAUCGUGAGGACUUGCCUUGAUGUAGUUGACGAAGCGAGUGCUGAGGGCGGAGUCUCUGUAGCCGAACUGCUCCUUCAGGGCUUCCGUAGGACUCUCCUCGAUCAGACGCACCGAGUCCGGGUCUGCUGGAGGGAAGACAACGUGUGAACAGACGAGUCACACAGACAGGUGAAGCCACUGACCUCUGGAGGAGGAGCAUCAGAACAGACGGAGGUUGUGACCCGGUCAUCAACAGACCGACUGACCCCAGACCUCUGUCUGUUAUCUACCUCCGAGUGUUCUUCACGCUUUGUCUUUACGUUCACUACAUUAAAGCAAAACACUACAGCUGAGGCCUGCUUCCGAGGCUAUAUUUAAAGACUCGUGUCCCGUUUCCAAGGCUCCUCCAAACGCGACCGACAAAUGCGUCCGUCUUUCACACGUUGAUUACUAAAAUAACUGGUCACAUCAGCUCUGACCUGAUUGAGGCUGAUUGAAUCUAUUUAAACUGUGUGUCUGGGGAGCGGCUGCUAAUGAAGCUAACGAUGCUAACAGACGUUCACACUAGAGACACACAACUGACAGACUGACUUCAGAGCUACGGACACGCUACAGACACACACCUCUUCCCUGAUAAGUCUGUGUCGUCAGUCACGCUGGAUUAAUGACGCCAAUCUUACAAGGUCGCAUCUGUAACAUUUAUGUGUGUGUGUCCGUGUUACCUGUCAGGGAGCUGAUGUGUUCAAUGGAGUCGUCCUUGCUGAGUCCCUCCUCCUCUGUAAUGUGACUCAUCGGCACGUUGAGACUCAGACUGUCUUCAUCCGACGGCUGCAAACAAACAACAACAAACAACAACAACAACAGUUAAACAAUAAAUAGUUAAUGAGUCAAUCAACAGAAAAACACGAGUAAUCUGAUAUUAAUCUGGUAAAACAAAAAGUUUGAAAUCACGACGGACAUUUUACACAAUUAUUUGAUUAAAUAUCAAUGAGCUUGCUAUAAACAAUCAAAUUAAAUUCAGGAGCUUUUUCAAAUAAAUUACUGAAACACACAGUACAUGAUUACACACAUGAAUCAAACAUACAAAUAAUAAUCUAUUUUAAAUGUUCCCACAGAUGGACGGGACGGAGAAGGGAGUAAAAAUAAUCACGUCUAACUAAUGAAAGACGUUAAAGAUGCCACAUAGAGAGUUUCGACACACACACACACACACACACACACACACACACACACACACACACACACACACACACACACACACACACACACACACACACACACACACGUUGUCAGUACCUCCGUAGCAGACAGUCUCUUGUCUCCGUUGUCACUGCCGACGCCUGAGUCGCUGUCCUGCUUCUUCUGCUGCUCCAUGUCCUCCACACUGCAGACACACAAACAGGUCACACACACACACACACACAGGAGGGGUGGGUGUGUGUGUGUGUGUGUGCGUGUGUGUGUGUGUGUGCGUGUGCGAGCUGAAGGGCGAGUGAGACUCAGAGAGAGAGAGGAAAGUCCCUCCCUCCCCCUCAGGCUGCGUUCACACUGCUCUGUGCAUUCUGAUUUCACUCUGAUGAGUCUGAACCUCGAAACUCUUUAAGUCUCUGAUCUUUUCAUCUUCUCCUCCUCUAUUUUAUUAAUGCUUUUACAACCCACGAAUAUUCGUCUGUUCUCUUUUGGACACAGACGUCAGCGACAUCAGGAGAAUCUCAACGAUAAAUGGCGUCGUCAAAUUCAAACAUUUCAUCUUGAGCGAGUGAAGCAAAUGAGGCGUUGCCUCAUUGACUUUGUAAAAAUCUCAUCACACACAUUUGUGUGAACACUGCGUUAGUCAGCAGGAUCACUCAAAUACAACUGAACCGGUUUUCAUGAUAUUUAGUUUCAUAGAUAGAUCUUUAAUAAUUAAUCUUAAUAAAAUAUUUUUGUAUCGUUCUUUGACAUAUUUGUUCAGUUCUUGUUGUCUUGGUCCGUAGCAGUGUGUCUGUUUCCUUGUAUUUGUAUACAAUUUGGCCAAAAAAGAAAAUUCUGAUUCUGGAAUACAGACAAAAAAAUAAAGACUAAGAGACACAGAAUAGAGGAAGAGGAGGAGAUAUAUGAAGAAGGAUGAAAUGAGAUGGCUGAAGAAAGAAGCAGAAAGAAUGAGUUCUGUGUGUGGAGGAUGACUGAGAGCUCUCCGGGAGAAUAGGAACACUUUUCCUGCCCACGUGCUGGGAGACUUUUAUGUGGGCGGACGUGACAGAGUUCAACAUCCUGUGAGAGAAACUACAGCAGCAGCUUCUUCUACUCCUUCUCUCUGGUCUCUGAUUUUUCACAUCAGUGUUUUGUAGCACCCUGUUUCCUUCGUGAGGUUUAACGGUGACUGACCUGCCGGCGGUGGGCCGUGAUAGGCUGAGCCGCUCCAUGGCGGGCAGGUAGAGUGCAUCGGGCAUCUUCUCGCUGCGACACGCCUCGAUGCUCAGGUGGACUCUGCAGCGGAUUGUUCUCCAGCUGCAGCGACUGGAGCUGCUUCAUCUUCCUGAAACACACCGGGAUGGUGGAGACCUUGUUACAGGAGAAGUCGAACUUCACCAGAGGAAGGUCGGCCAGGACGAAGCUUCACGUUCCUCCACGAGGGGAAGUGAAGGCAACACAAACAAACCUGGAGGUCAGUGAACGUGACACAGAACAGGAAGAAGACUCAGACCUCGGUCCCCACAAGAGUCUCAAAACCCCACAGAACUCUGAUCACAUUCCACAGGACGGAAUACAUAAAUAUACAGGCCUCAGAUAUAAAAAUGAAUAAGAAGAAUGUAAACAGAUAAAUAAGUAAAAGUGAAUUUAAUCUGCCGUGUCUUGGUGUGUGUGUGUGUGUGUGUUUGUGUGUGUCACAACACGAGGCUGUGACGCUCUCGUCAUCACGUUGACCUUGUGACCUCUGUGCCAGCGAAUCCUCCUGCUUCAGCCGUUUUCACGGCAGCAGAGAGAACAGAUGGCUGUGGAGCGUAAAGACGACCUGUGAUUGUUGCACUGUACAAACACACACAGCAGGAAUGUGAACACGGAGCGCCGUCCUGACCGACCCGCAGGCUCCACAGCUGGGACUGUCGCCCUGGUGACCGACGUACGGUUAUUUUUAUGUUUGCAAAAUUCUCAAAUGUGAUAAAACCCAGAUAUAACAGGAAGUGUUCCCCUCAGUGUUGUUCCAAACUCUUCCUGUUCUGGACGUUUCUCUACUUUUACUGUUUGAGCCUUUCAUUCCUUUUAGACUCAAGUCGAUGAACACAAAGAAAAUAAACUAUGUGUAAAAAUGUGUAGUGAACAAACAUGUCAGUUCAGUGUUCUGUGCACUGAUUGGCUGAGGAUGUCAGAGUGUGUGUUUCUCAAAUCGAAAUCCUGCCGAGUCAGGUCGUCUGGUGUCUGCCGGACG